rnacentral:rRNA from 2 species
AGGUGUGAUCAUACCAGCACUAAUGCAUCGGCUCCCAUCAGAAAUUCGAAGUUAAGCGUGCUUGGGCGUAAGUAGUACUAGGAUGGGUGAGCUCCUUGGAAUUCCUCGUGUUGCGCAAA